rnacentral:rRNA from 1 species
UGGGGAAUAUUGCGCAAUGGGCGAAAGCCUGACGCAGCGACGCCGCGUGAGGGAAGAAGGCCUUCGGGUCGUAAACCUCUGUCUAGAGGGAAGAAACCAUUGAGGUCGAACAGGCCUCUUUGCUGACGGUACCUCUGAAGGAAGCACCGGCUAACUCCGUGCCAGCAGCCGCGGUACUACGGAGGGUGCGAGCGUUAAUCGGAAUCACUGGGCGUAAAGCGCACGUAGGCGGUGUCGUAAGUCGGAUGGGAAAGCCCUCGGCUCAACCGGGGAACUGCAUUCGAUACGGCGAUGCGUGAGUGCCGGAGAGGGUGGCGGAAUUCCAGGUGUAGGAGUGAAAUCCGUAGAUAUCUGGAGGAACACCAGUGGCGAAGGCGGCCACCUGGCCGGCAACUGACGCUGGAGUGCGAAAGCGUGGGGAUCAAACA